rnacentral:rRNA from 1 species
UGGGGAAUAUUGGACAAUGGGCGCAAGCCUGAUCCAGCCAUGCCGCGUGAGUGAUGAAGGCCCUAGGGUUGUAAAGCUCUUUCACCGGUGAAGAUAAUGACGGUAACCGGAGAAGAAGCCCCGGCUAACUUCGUGCCAGCAGCCGCGGUAAUACGAAGGGGGCUAGCGUUGUUCGGAUUUACUGGGCGUAAAGCGCACGUAGGCGGACUUUUAAGUCAGGGGUGAAAUCCCGGGGCUCAACCCCGGAACUGCCUUUGAUACUGGAAGUCUUGAGUGUGGUAGAGGUGAGUGGAAUUCCGAGUGUAGAGGUGAAAUUCGUAGAUAUUCGGAGGAACACCAGUGGCGAAGGCGGCUCACUGGACCAUUACUGACGCUGAGGUGCGAAAGCGUGGGGAGCAAACAGG